UAAGGUGGUUAUUGCGGUGGGGCUCACCUCUUCCCAUUCCGAACAGAGAAGUUAAGCCCACCUGCGCAGAUGGUACUACAUCCGUGGGAGAGUAUGUCACCGCCUUCU
rnacentral:rRNA from 1 species